GUAAGAAUCACUUACUUUGGCCUCGCUCUGUGGUCCUGUCACAGUGUUCCAUACCAGAGCAAGCUGUCACUCGGCAUCAGGGACUGGCCUCCUCGCUCGUGAGCUGAGGGCACUGGUGCUGGUUCCCACAGAG
rnacentral:snoRNA from 1 species